rnacentral:rRNA from 1 species
UACGAAGGGGGCUAGCGUUGCUCGGAAUCACUGGGCGUAAAGCGCACGUAGGCGGAUCUUUAAGUCAGGGGUGAAAUCCUGGAGCUCAACUCCAGAACUGCCCUUGAUACUGGGGAUCUUGAGUCCGGAAGAGGUGAGUGGAACCCCGAGUGUAGAGGUGAAAUUCGUAGAUAUUCGGAAGAACACCAGUGGCGAAGGCGGCUCACUGGUCCGGUACUGACGCUGAGGUGCGAAAGCGUGGGGAGCAAACAGG